CCCUUGCUAGCUCAGUCGGUAAAGAAUCUGCCUGCAAUGCAGGGGACCUGGGUUCCAUUCCUGGGUCGGGAA
rnacentral:tRNA from 1 species